UACGUAGGGUGCGAGCGUUGUCCGGAAUUAUUGGGCGUAAAGGGCUCGUAGGCGGUCUGUCACGUCGGGAGUGAAAACCCAGGGCUCAACCCUGGUCCUGCUUCCGAUACGGGCAGACUAGAGGUAUGCAGGGGAGAAUGGAAUUCCUGGUGUAGCGGUGAAAUGCGCAGAUAUCAGGAGGAACACCGGUGGCGAAGGCGGUUCUCUGGGCCUGUACUGACGCUGAGGAGCGAAAGCGUGGGGAGCGAACAGG
rnacentral:rRNA from 1 species